CGAAAACAGCAUAUGUUUGGAUUCCGCCAGCACCGGCAUCUCCGUUAGAAAUAACCCGCCAUUGCCCGGCCGCCUGCGAUCAGCCCGGUUGUAGAGGGAGCUCUUUUCAGUUUUAGUGCCACCGAGCGAGCGGGCCCUUGAAGUCGACACACGCAGAGGAGGGGAGGGAGAGGCAGAGGCAGCAGCAGAAGCAGGCGGUCACACUGGGCAAAGGCGCUGCUGGAGCGGCUGCAGCCGAGGCGAAGCCCAGCCACGAACAAAGAAGAAAAGGCCUCAGCGCCAGCAACCUUGCCGAGCCGCCAUGGCGCGCACAGUUCGGGGAGAGGGAAAAGGCUGCUCUCAGGUGGCAAUGUCACUUGACCAACCACUAGAGGGCGUAUGGAGCGGCAGUGACACUAUCUUCGGGGGCUCACCUUGAGAUGUGCAAGUGCAGUGCAGCCUACUUUCCUCAGCUGUCCAUCCUCAUUCUCCAGCAGCUCCAG